GGGGGGGGGGGGGGGGUCCCAGGUCACAUGCCCCGGAAGGACCAGGCGGGGACCCAGUGUGGCCUGACCCCUGGCGUGAGCUCUUCCAUGAUGCCGCUGUGGGCGGUCAGAAGCCUGACGCGCCGGGCUCCCCUCCCCUCCCCCCGGGCAGUGCCGCCCAUUUUGGCCUGUCCUCAGCAGCCAUCUGAUGCCUCACGGUGGGUUUCAGGAGGGUUUCCUGCGUCCCGUGCCCGUGUGGUCCGUAUAGUGGCCUGGAAGGAAGUCCGGGGAGAAGGAUGGACGGCCUUAAGGCUGAGAACCCUCACCUUCCGACUUCACCCUCAGCUCUGGGUGGGCGAGGCCGCGCUCUGCUCCGUGCAGUCCAGGGGCAGCCCCAGCCGAGUGGGCCCCUGGCCGCCCGGUCGCACCCGGGGCCUGAGAGCUGAGCAGUCUGGAGGAGACUGGCNNNNNNNNNNNNNNNNNNNNNNNNNNNNNNNNNNNNNNNNNNNNNNNNNNNNNNNNNNNNNNNNNNNNNNNNNNNNNNNNNNNNNNNNNNNNNNNNNNNNNNNNNNNNNNNNNNNNNNNNNNNNNNNNNNNNNNNNNNNNNNNNNNNNNNNNNNNNNNNNNNNNNNNNNNNNNNNNNNNNNNNNNNNNNNNNNNGCGGGGGGUGGCGCUUUCCCAGACGGAGGGGCAGAACGGCCUGGCCUGGCAGUGGCUCCUGGCGCCCUGGCCGGUCUGCUUGGGAAGGCGUUUUCAGAGGCCGUAACCCGAACCGCCUGCAGCCUCUGAGUGCGCGCAAGCUGCAGGCUAAAGAAGAGCCGGGAGCAGAGCAAGCACCCCUGCCCCUGCGGCACGCCCGCGAUAGGCUCAGCGAGAGGCUGGUGCCUGUGUUCUGGUCCCGAGGGGGCCCUCUCAUGAGACAGGAGCUGGAGAUGGUGGGGCCCCGGGCGGAGGCCCAGGGUCUGCAGACGCCCCUCGAGUGUCAGCCUUGCCCUUGGGGCCGCACGCCCUGUGACCAGUCUCCCCUUGUCUGGCUGUAUCGGUGCCUCCGGAAGGCGAGGGGGUUACCAGACGUGGCAGUUGCUUUCAUCUCAAGUGCCAAGUCUGUCCUUGGCCGCCGUUUGCCUGGAGAAGUGCGGCAGGGCGGAUUUGGCCAAGUCAGGGGAGAGAGCUCCAGGGGCAGCUCAGAGGGCAGGAGCUUGGCAUCUCUGCCACCGAUGUUGCGGGUGUUGCCGGAGCAGACAGGAGAGGGCCGCUCAGCCUUGCAGAGCUGAAUGGAUGUAUUGCUGGCUUCGAAAACCUCUACGGAGACGCUCGAGAUGAUGCAUCUGUGUAUCUGAUACAAAGGGUUUAAUACCCACCGAGGUCUUUCCUGUGAGAAAAGGUUGGAAAUGGCAUUUGACCAGGACAGCGGGGGGGGCAGUGGACACCCCUGGGCAAUGCUGCCCACUGGCACCGAGGGACAGGCCGGGAGUUUAGUAGCCGUCAUUGCCCUAAAAUGAUUUUAGUCCUAAAGAAACUACCAGUAACGCCCCCCACGCGUCACGAGCAACUCAGGCAGACGUGCCGUUGGGAGACGUGUGCAUGGAUAUUUCUGAUGCUUCAGCAUCUGGUCUGCAUAAAGACACCUCUGUGGGAAAGUUUUACCCCAAACUAUUUCGUUCUUCUUUUUUUUUUUUCUUGUGAAGGUUUAUUGAAGUCUAGUUGAUUUGCAGUGUGGGGAUGAUUUCUGCUCUACAGCAAAGCGAUUCAGUCCCACAGACCCACAUGUCCGUUCUCCUACAGAUGCUUUUCCCCUCUAGGUCACCCCGGAACAUUGGGCGGAGGUCCCUUACCCCAGCCUGGCUGGGUUUUAUUUUUCCUACUUGUGCAAAAGUGACGUCUUUCAUAAAGGAAUGUUUGGACAGGACAAAACUGGGGGGCGCAGAAGCCGUGAUUCUCCUCUGGGGCAAUGGUCGUUUUGCUUUCUUUUCGUGAAGGAGUUAAUAUAUUGAAUCCCGAGGGUUUUUUUCCUGUUGCCCGUAUUACAAGUAGUACAUUCAUCACCUCAUGAACAAGGUGUGGGGUUUCUUCUCCAGCCACGCUGUCACGUCAAGGGUGUUUGUUUUGUUUGACGUUGUUUUUUGAGAUUUUGAGAAGCUGGACUUCGGGGUCGUUGGGAUUGCCGCUGACUGCAUCCGCCGGGACCGACAGCCUCCUUUCCUCCUGUCCACAGCCGGGUACAGAAAACCAAGGCAGGGGACGCAGUCACUUUGAACAAAGUUAUUAGCAUCAUCUGGAUUUUCACAGAAGAUGUUUUACAUUCCCCGCUGUUUUCACAAAAGAGUGGCCAAAGUGUUGCUCUGUGGGACGCGCCACAAUCCAAGCCUACAUUCUCUUUCUUAGCUGAAUAAUGCUCUUUGCAUCCCACCUCUCUUGGCAAUUUCUUACGUGAACUAAAGCACACCUGCAGUGGCUCUGAUGAAGGUGUGUCGUUUACCGGAGUUCCUGCUGUAGUGCCCUGGGAUUGGCGGCAUCUUGGGAGCCCUGGGAUGCAGGUUCGAUCCCCGGCCCGGCACAGUGGGUUAAGGAUCUGGCAUUGCCGCACUUGCGGCCUAGGUGGCAGCUCAGCUUGGAUCCGAUCCCAGGUGCGGAGUCUCCAUGUGCCGCGGGGCGGCCAAAAAAAGCCGGUCAUUUACCUUCCCUGGGCACGUGAGCACACACUCGGUCACUGUUGUCAUGCAGAGGAAGGUGACAUUUGAGCAAAGGGGAUAUGCACGCACGUUGCAUUUCUUCAAGCCCUCAGUCCCUCCGUUGCCCAGGCUGUUCGGGUAAAUGAGUGACAGAAAGUCAACUCAGACUUGCUGAAGCAAAAAUGAGGAAUUCCCUGAAAGGCCUGUAAAACCAAACCGGUGGCAGGACGGCAGGUACCAGUGGAGCGUGGGGACGGUAGAGCCAUGAAUCAGGUGUCCCAAGGACUUUCUCUUCUACUCUCGUGCUCGCUCUCUCUUUUUUUGUUGUUGUUGUUGUUGUUGUUGUUGUUGUUGUUGUUGUUGUUUCAGGGCUGCACCCACAGCAUAUGGAAGUUCCCAGGAUAGGAGUCAAAUUGGAGCUGUAGCCACAGGCCUACACCACAGCCACAGCAAUGCCGUAUCCAAGCUGAGUCGGGAUCCAAACGGGAUCCUUAACUCACUGAGCGAGGCCAGGGAUCGAACCCGCAUCUUCGUGGAUCCUAGUCAGGUUCACUAACCACUGAGCCGCAAAGGGAACUCCAGUCAUGAACUGUUUUUAGAUGAAGCCGGUAAGGUUUGGUGCUUAGAGCUGCCUUUCGUGGUUGCCUCUAAAUAUCGGGCCAUUGUUGCUCUACCCACUUAGCGCUCCCAAAACUAGAGUUUCUAAAUUAAAUUUAAAAUCUUUACAAAUGUUUUUCUAUUUCCGAAUAAGUUCUAGAAAACCGUGAAACGAAUUCACGGGACAUCACUCCCAGACUCCCUGGGGCCAGCCGGGUUCUGCACACGGCCGCCCCACCCACUCCACUCGGCGAGACCCGAGGGCUCCCGCCUCCGUCCCGAGGGGCCCCCACAACCUGGACAGCCCUGGCCUCACAGGCCAGUUACUGCAGAGGGUCCCGCAGCGUGGCUUUUGCCACAGGAGGCGGGGUGGGAGCUGGGCACGGGGUCCCUUUGCUCAGGCUGGCGCUUAUCUGAGGGCGGAAGGAUGCCGGGCAGAGCAGGCAACUGCGGGCAGGAGGGGUGGUCGCCCUCAUCGCCCCCCAGGGCCAGUCACUCACCCAGUGCAGGCCAUUCUUUGGGCCUGAUGUUUCUUUGAACGUCUUUUGCCCCAUCCUGGUUCCUGCCACCCCGUCACACGGGUCCCCCCGCCGCCUUCUCUCCGUGCCAGCCCCGCUGCCCCUGGCGUGGCCUGGCCCAGGGGCAGAUCCCAUCUUCCGCCCCGGCUCCUUCGCUCCCUCCUUCGGCGAAACAUCCCAGACACCAGGUGACGCUGCAGGCCUUCCCGAGGCAGGCGUGCCGAUGGGGGACCUGCUGCCACGCGUGCAGAUGAGGAGGCUGCGGGGCAGGGCUGUAAAGGGGAGAGACAGGGACAGAGCGGGGCACUCUCCCCGCAGGGGAGCGCCUUGCUCAGGGCUGGCCGCUCCCCAGGCCCCCUCCCCGAGCUCUGCCCAGACCACGCGCUGGUCCCACCAUGCCUGGCUCCUCACGCCUGUCCCUUUGACAUUCAGAUGCUGGGUCUUGAGUCCCUGCCACCCAGGGUCCCCAGGCUGCCGCUUCUCUCCCCAACACACAUCCCAGGGAGGUGCUGGGCUGUGCGUGCAGACGAGAAAGGAGGGAGCUCCUGCUGCCUCCGCACCCCACUGAGCUGCCUGGCUCCUGGAGGUCGAGACCUUGUUCUGGGGUUUUCAGCCACGUGUCCAACACAGCGCCAUAGGAGGGUGGAAAUUUCUGUUUGGUGGUUGUGUCCAAGUCAGUAGCCGAGGGCCACACGGAGCCACCGGUAUUCAUUCACAUGGGGCUCAUGCGACUGAGAUGAGUUUUUAUUUUUAUUUCAUUGUAAUUAAAUUGAAAGAGCCACGUGUGGCUGGGGCCACCGUGCUGGGCAGCGCGGCCCCGUAGACGGCCCUGCACCCCCACUUACCUCCGAGGGCGGUGUGUCUCGCCUGUUAUGUAGCCUCAGGCAACUGGGCAAGAUGCUUACUCUGUGGAGUGUUUUCCCUCCAGUGAACAUGUUCCAGAAAGCGGGGGACCCCACAGUGUAGGGGUUUGAAGCAGGAGAACAGAAGAAAAUACUGUGAGGAGUUCCCGUCGUGGCACAGCGGAAACAAACCCAACUGGGAACCAUGAGGUUGCAGGUUCGAUCCCUGGCCUCGCUCAGUGGGUUAAGGACCCGGCGUUGCCGUGAGCUAUGGUGUAGGUCGCAGACGCAGCUCGAAUCCCGAGUUGCUGUGGCUCUGAUGUAGGCUGGCAGCUGUAGUUCCAAUUAGACCCCUAGCUGGGAACCUCCAUGUGCCACAGGUGCGGCCCUAAAAAGCAAAAAAAAAAA
rnacentral:lncRNA from 1 species